rnacentral:tRNA from 1 species
GGGCGGUUAGCUCAGGUGGGAGAGCGCCUCCCUUACAAGGAGGAGGGCGCAGGUUCAAGUCCUGCACCGCCCACCA